GACGAACGCUGGCGGCGUGCCUAAUACAUGCAAGUAGAACGCUGAAGAGAGGAGCUUACUCUUCUUGGAUGAGUUGCGAACGGGUGAGUAACGCGUAGGUAACCUGCCUUGUAGCGGGGGAUAACUAUUGGAAACGAUAGCUAAUACCGCAUAACAAUGGAUGACACAUGUCAUUUAUUUGAAAGGGGCAAUUGCUCCACUACAAGAUGGACCUGCGUUGUAUUAGCUAGUAGGUGAGGUAAUGGCUCACCUAGGCGACGAUACAUAGCCGACCUGAGAGGGUGAUCGGCCACACUGGGACUGAGACACGGCCCAGACUCCUACGGGAGGCAGCAGUAGGGAAUCUUCGGCAAUGGGGGCAACCCUGACCGAGCAACGCCGCGUGAGUGAAGAAGGUUUUCGGAUCGUAAAGCUCUGUUGUAAGUCAAGAACGGGUGUGAGAGUGGAAAGUUCACACUGUGACGGUAGCUUACCAGAAAGGGAGGGCUAACUACGUG
rnacentral:rRNA from 1 species